rnacentral:tRNA from 1 species
GCCUCUAUAGCUGAAAUGGAUUAGCGCCUGACUCUUAAUCAGGGGAUGUAGGAUCGUUACCUUCUGGGGGCA